AACCGAAAAGAAAAAGAAUGGGAUGGAGUGAGGGGGCCGAGGUCGCUGUGCUUGAGCUGUGGGAGGAGCGCGUGGAGGAGCUCCGUGGGCUGAGAAAGAACGCUCACGUUUACGCGGAGAUGGCGGCUGACCUCUCCAAGCAUGGAUACAAUCACAGCUGCAAAACUUUUCACAGCGCUACAGGAAAGAAAAGGCAGAAAUGGGUCCUUCUGGUGGGUCGCCUUCAACAUGGGGGCACUUUGAAAGGGUGCAUUCAAUAAUCGGUGCAUUCAAGGCGAACCUGUAAAAGAUUUGACGCUUGAAAGCAUUGAUGACUCAUCAAAAACAUCGUCGUCCACUGCAGCACUACCAUCGCCAGUAACACCGCUACCUUCACCCUCGUCGUCACUUCCG